rnacentral:rRNA from 1 species
AGAGUUUGAUCAUGGCUCAGGACGAACGCUGGCGGCGUGCCUAACACAUGCAAGUCGAGCGAUGAUAGCUGUUCACUAAGUUCUUUCUUUUAAAGAGGAAAGAGUUUAGUGAACAGCUUGAUUAGCGGCGGACGGGUGAGUAACGCGUGAGCAAUCUGCCUUACACAAAGGGAUAGCCUCGGGAAACUGGGAUUAAUACCAUAUGAAACUUAAAAACCGCAUGGUUAAUAAGUCAAAGAUUUAUCGGUGUAAGAUGAGCUCGCGCCUGAUUAGCUAGUUGGUAGGGUAAAGGCCUACCAAGGCGACGAUCAGUAGCCGGCCUGAGAGGGUGAACGGCCACACUGGAACUGAGAAACGGUCCAGACUCCUACGGGAGGCAGCAGUGGGGAAUAUUGCACAAUGGGCGCAAGCCUGAUGCAGCGACGCCGCGUGAGCGAAGAAGGUUUUCGGAUCGUAAAGCUCUGUCCUUUGGGAAGAAAAAAAUGACGGUACCAAAGGAGGAAGCCCCGGCUAACUACGUGCCAGCAGCCGCGGUAAUACGUAGGGGGCGAGCGUUGUCCGGAUUUACUGGGCGUAAAGGGUGAGUAGGCGGU